GAUGAACGCUGGCGGCGUGCUUAACACAUGCAAGUCGAACGAAGCACUUUACUUGAUCUUUUCGGAGUGAUUGUUUUGUGACCGAGUGGCGGACGGGUGAGUAACGCGUGGGUAACCUGCCUCACACAGGGGGAUAACAGUUGGAAACGGCUGCUAAUACCGCAUAAGCGCACAGUACCGCAUGGUACGGUGUGAAAAACUCCGGUGGUGUGAGAUGGACCCGCGUCUGAUUAGCUAGUUGGCAGGGCAACGGCCUACCAAGGCGACGAUCAGUAGCCGACCUGAGAGGGUGACCGGCCACAUUGGGACUGAGGAACGGCCCAAACUCCUACGGGAGGCAGCAGUGGGGAAUAUUGCACAAUGGGGGAAACCCUGAUGCAGCGACGCCGCGUGAGCGAAGAAGUAUUUCGGUAUGUAAAGCUCUAUCAGCAGGGAAGAAGAAGUGACGGUACCUGACUAAGAAGCACCGGCUAAAUACGUGCCAGCCGCCGCGGUAA
rnacentral:rRNA from 1 species